AUCAAACUAGAGUUCCCCGUAUUCGGACGCACAGAAGGUGAAGAUCCAUUAACAUACCUGGAAAAGUGUGCCGAGUACUUAGCUGUGCGACCAAUGAGUGAUGGUGAGAUAUUGGCAAUACUUCCAUCUGUAUUGAUGCACACCGCUAAAGACUGGUGGAUGGCGGAGAAAAUCCACGUCAACACAUGGAAUCAAUUCAAGGCUGUAUUCCUUCGUUCCUUUCUACCCGAUGACCAUGAGGUGGAAGCUGAGAGGAAAAUGAGAGAGAGAAAACAAGGGAUAGGUGAAAGUAUUCGGACAUUUGCUUUUCAAUUUAGAGCUAUGUGUCUGAGACUGAGGCCAUCAAUGACAGAAAGAGAAAUACUUCAGGCCACAUUAAGGAACUGUAAUCCUCAUGUUGCCAGUAUUCUGAGAAGCACAGCCACGACCUUUGAUGAGUUGGUACGUGUGGGAACUUUAGUGGAACGGGACAUGGCAGAAGAAAGAGUUUACUGGAAGCAAUGCAAUGCUGAGCAAGCCAGCAGAAAAGGCAGAGGUGGAAGCCAUAACAUUGCCCUACUAUCAGAAAGCAACAUCAAGCUUUUAACCUUUCCUGUAGUAUUGCAGAAACAUCCGUGUGAUGCUGUGAUAGACACUGGUAGCUCAUAUUCGUUGAUUCAAGAGUCCUUGUGGAGGAAAUGGAAGGAUGAUGCUGAGUCCUGGAAAUCCAGCAGAGGACUGUCGUUUGCUCUUGCCAAUGGCCAAGUACAACGAGCCCUUGGAGAAGUCAGUUGGGAAUGUACAUUGCAAGAUAACACAUGCCCAGUGCGGCUGUUCAUUAUGAGGAAUCAAGAUCUGUCAUUUCCACUCAUUCUUGGUCUUGAUUUCCUUGUGUCAGUUGGCUUAAAACUUGACUUCAACAGUUUUUCUUAUUCAUUUCCUGGACAGGAGACAGCACAAUCAUUUUCUUGCUAUUUACAACCUGCCAGCGUUAUCAUUCACUGUGCAUUAUCAACUAUACAAGUGUCAGAAAAUACAAUAACCAUAAUUAAGGAUUUGGUGAGUCAAGCUGAUAUUUCACGUAGUGAGAAGAGGCAACUGGAAGGUAUCUUAUUGAACUGGCCCACUGUAUGUACCGAUGAUCUGGGACAAACCGCCGUUAUCAAACAUCAGAU
rnacentral:lncRNA from 12 species